AGUGUUCUUCAGGGCAGGGUGACUUUUCAGAAUUUUCAGCAGGUAAUUUUGGAAAGAAUUCCCGACCGACGGUGAUACCCCUCAGAGGGCAAGUCCGUGAGCCGUAAGGCAUGAUUUGGUGAGAAUCCAAAACCGACAGUACAGUCUGGAUGGGAGAAGAAAACA
rnacentral:ncRNA from 2 species